rnacentral:rRNA from 1 species
AUUGAACGCUGGCGGCAUGCUUUACACAUGCAAGUCGAACGGCAGCGCGGGCUUCGGCCUGGCGGCGAGUGGCGAACGGGUGAGUAAUGCAUCGGAACGUGCCCAGUAGUGGGGGAUAGCCCGGCGAAAGCCGGAUUAAUACCGCAUACGACCUGAGGGUGAAAGCGGGGGACCGAAAGGCCUCGCGCUAUUGGAGCGGCCGAUGUCGGAUUAGCUAGUUGGUGGGGUAAAGGCUUACCAAGGCGACGAUCCGUAGCUGGUCUGAGAGGACGACCAGCCAAAACUGGGCCGGGGCACGGCCCCGGCUCCCAAGGGAAGGCGCAGGUGGGAAUUUUGGAAAAAGGGGGGCACCCUGAUCCAAGCCAGGCGCGGGGGGGAAAGAGGGCUUCGGGUUGGAAAACGGCUUUGUUCGGGAAGAAAACCUCUGGGCUAAUACCCCGGGGGGAUGACGGUACCGGAAGAAUAAGCACCGGCUAACUACGUG